rnacentral:rRNA from 1 species
CCUACGGGUGGCAGCAGUGGGGAAUAUUGCACAAUGGGGGAAACCCUGAUGCAGCGACGCCGCGUGAGUGAAGAAGUAAUUCGUUAUGUAAAGCUCUAUCAGCAGGGAAGAAAAUGACGGUACCUGAGUAAGAAGCCCCGGCUAACUACGUGACAGUAGCCGCGGUAAUACGUAGGGGGCAAGCGUUAUCCGGAUUUACUGGGUGGAAAGGGAGCGUAGACGGCAGUGCAAGGCUGGAGUGAAAGGCGGGGGCUCAACCCCCGGACUGCUCUGGAGACUGUACGGCUGGAGUGCAGGAGAGGUGAGUGGAAUUCCUAGUGUAGCGGUGAAAUGCGUAGAUAUUAGGAGGAACACCAGUGGCGAAGGCGGCUUACUGGACUGUAACUGACGUUGAGGCUCGAAAGCGUGGGGAGCAAACAGGAUUAGAUACCCUUGUAGUC